CGGCCAGCAAAGCUCCCCCGGUCAAAUAAAGGGUUUUCUUCCACCAGGGAUCCGAGCCCAGCCCUGCCAUGAUCCCACCGUAAUCCUGCAAAGGGAAAGCGAUGAUGUCCCCAUAAAAGGAGAAGGGCUCCUCGGACCCGGCCCACCAGCCGAAGAAGGAGAUGCUCUGGUUCCAGCUCAGGUCCACCACGCACGGCCUGGACGAGGCAAAGCCAACCCCCCAGUGCAUGCUGCGCGGCUGGCUCCGGGCGCCCCUCCCAGGGCCCGCGCCGCCCGCAUGGGAAGGGGCCGGCGCCCGGGCAGGCGGGCUCAACGGUGCGCAGGGGGCGCAGGCGGAGGCGGUAGUGGAAGGGCGCCGGUGGCGAGCGGAGAGCCGGGCUGACGGGGCCCUGAGGCCCGGCGAGGCAGCGGCGGCCG
rnacentral:lncRNA from 1 species